UUUCAAUAUCUACAUUGAAUACCUGGCUAUGAGGCGUUGUCUCGACCUGGGUCUCGCUGGAUGUGCUUGGUUCUGUAUAUAUUCGAC